rnacentral:lncRNA from 1 species
GGUGUUUAGCUAUUCAUCCUUGAAUCAAAAAUAAAAGAUUUGAUGUCGUUCAUGUAAAUAAUAAUUAAGAAAAGUGAAAACAGAAGAAACCUAAUGGUGUAUUCUUCUUCUCCGCAUGUGGCUCUUAAAAUAAAGAUAAACCCUUCAAAAAAUGUCCAAGGAUUCUAUCUAUAAUAAUGGAAAAUAACCCUGAAUCCUUCCCAAACUCGGACCGGAACUUACCCAAUUUUUUACUCGUGAAAACCUUUAGGGCACCGCCCUAACCAAGACCCUAGCUACUUAAGGCACCACGUUGGCCAACGCGGAGGCCGGCUAAAAAAUCAUUCUUUGAAGUUUAUUCUCUUGGCGAUCCAAUGGCUAAUGCCCUGACGUUCAAGGUUCUAACCGGUGCGGCGCCCUGGCCCUUCACAUGUCUUCGAAUUUCGUCAAAGCCUAGAAUUCUCCGAUUUGCCAUCUUUGUCUUCGG